rnacentral:snoRNA from 1 species
GCAUGGGUUUGGAUUUAUGGCAGGCCCGUCCCCCUGGGCCUCAUAGUGCCCCAUGCCAGAACAAACUGUGGCCCCAAACCAUUGCCUGGCCUGUGCCCAUUGGCUGCUGGUACUGAAGUGGGUUGCACAACG